rnacentral:rRNA from 1 species
AACGAACGCUGGCGGCAGGCUUAACACAUGCAAGUCGAACGCCCCGCAAGGGGAGUGGCAGACGGGUGAGUAACGCGUGGGAAUCUACCCAGUUCUACGGAACAACUGAGGGAAACUUCAGCUAAUACCGUAUACGCCCUACGGGGGAGAGAUUUAUCGGAAUUGGAUGAGCCCGCGUAAGAGUAGCUAGUUGGUGAGGUAAUGGCUGACCAAGGCGACGAUCUUUAGCUGGUCUGAGAGGAUGAUCAGCCACACUGGGACUGAGACACGGCCCAGACUCCUACGGGAGGCAGCAGUGGGGAAUAUUGGACAAUGGGCGCAAGCCUGAUCCAGCCAUGCCGCGUGAGUGAUGAAGGCCUUAGGGUUGUAAAGCUCUUUCAGUGGGGACGAUAAUGACGGUACCCACAGAAGAAGCCCCGGCUAACUUCGUGCCAGCCGCCGCGGUAAAAC